GCCGCUGUAGCACAAAGGUAGUGCAUUGCCUUCCUACCUUGCGCGUGGGAUCACGUAAGGCCUGAGGCAAAGGCUGUGGGUUCGAGCCCCAUCAGCGGUU